rnacentral:tRNA from 1 species
UAGCAAACAAAUGCAUAGAAUUAGAAUCUAAAUAAAAUA